CGAAAUUCGAUAAGUAAUGUGAAUUGCAGAAUUCAGUGAAUCAUCGAAUCUUUGAACGCACCUUGCGCGCCUUGGUAUUCCUUGGAGCAUGCCUGUUUGAGUAUCAUGAAAUCUUCAAAGUAAAUCUUUUGUUAACUCAAUUGGUUUCUACUUUGGUAUUGGAGGUCUUUGCAGCUUCACACCUGCUCCUCUUUGUUCAUUAGCUGGAUCUCAGUGUUAUGCUUGGUUCCACUCGGCGUGAUAAGUUAUCUAUCGCUGAGGACACUGUAAAAGGUGGCCAAGGUAAAUGCAGAUGAACCGCUUCUAAUAGUCCAUUGACUUGGACAAUACUUUUAUGAUCUGAUCUCAAAUCAGGUAGGACUACCCGCUGAACUUAAGC
rnacentral:misc_RNA from 1 species